rnacentral:rRNA from 1 species
GAUGAACGCUAGCGGCAGGCCUAAUACAUGCAAGUCGAACGGUGUCUUCGGACAUAGUGGCGCACGGGUGCGUAACACGUAUGCAACCUACCUUACGUUGGGGGAUAGCCUUUCGAAAGGGAGAUUAAUACCGCAUAAGACAGUAGCUGGGCAUCCAGCAGCUGUUAAAGAUUUAUCGAUGUAAGCUGGGCAUGCGUCCAAUUAGCUAGUUGGUGAGGUAACGGCUCACCAAGGCAAUGAUUGGUAGGGGAACUGAGAGGUCAAUCCCCCACACUGGCACUGAGAUACGGGCCAGACUCCUACGGGAGGCAGCAGUAGGGAAUAUUGGGCAAUGGACGCAAGUCUGACCCAGCCAUGCCGCGUGCAGGAUGAAGGCGUUAUGCGUUGUAAACUGCUUUUAUACAGGAAGAAACGACUCUUGCGAGAGGCAUUGACGGGACUGUAUGAAUAAGCACCGGCUAACUCCGUGCCAGCAGCCGCAGUAAAAC